rnacentral:lncRNA from 1 species
AGGUGCGAAGGAAAAACAUGUAUAAGGAAGGGGACCUGACCCACUUCAACCAGAAGCUUGAGGGGUUCAACUUGUUCAGGUGCUGGGAUGAAUGCCUAGCAAGCUCUCAGUAUCAUGCCCGGAAGAGGGAGGUUGACAAGUUCAACGAGUAAGCACCGGGAGGGGAGGAGUCUGAUAUUCUGGCAUUCUUUCUGGUUUCAUAUUCCACAGCCCAUUUGCCAUACUCAGAAUACCAAGCUAGUAAGGUGCUUGAGGGUGUUGAGUUUGCUGACCCACUCCCAGCCAUUUCUUAAAGAUACUCAAAUGAUUUGUUCAGCCUGGGGGCAGAUGGGCAUAUACAGCCUGCACUCAGUAUAGCCCAUCAAUAUGGUUCACUUUUACACUCAUCUGCUGUUGGGGCACACCAGCAGAGGACUAAGAAUACCACAGUUAUACAGUGGCCUCUAACAUGAAUCUAUCACUGUGACCUUACAGUUACUCCAUCUCCUUGGGCCCCAGUUUCAGCAUCUGCAAAGUGGGGGUAAUUACACCAGCCCUGUUUCCUCACUGAGGUACCCAGAAAACCAAACAGAAAGCACAGAGAAAGUGUUACCACUAUCAUCAGUGAGUGUCAUAAGUGACUGUCUUCCCUGGUACAGUCACAGUCCAAGGUCACCAGGGCACCCCGACUCUGCCUGAGCUCCAUUCUGGGAGGAAGUGAUGAUACUUUCAAGUGCAGACCCUCAGGAUUGGGUCCCCCUUCAGCACAGCUGAAGAACACAAAUCGCACCCCUUUUUCAUUUGGUUUACCCAACUGGGGCACAACUCAAUUAUGAUAAGUACCAUGUGGGCUUCUCCAAGGAUGCCUUGUUCCAACUUUACAAAGAUGUUGACUGAAACUACAUCUGAGCUGACACAACCAUGAUAGAAAAUGUUCUAUGAGAAUCUUCCUUUUUUCUCCAGGGAGAAUUGUUGGAAGAAGAGAGGGUUGUCCAUAAUUCCUACCAAGUAUGGAGUAAGCUUCUCUAUUCCUUUUUUAAAUCAGGUAAUUGCCUUAUAUAAUUUUGUGCCUCUCCCCUGGGCUGGGGCCCCAUUUCCCCCUCUGUUUGCACUAUCACAUGGGAAAGGCCAUUGUGGCUGGUACCAGUGCAGAGUGGAGGGGCUCUCUGCUGUUUAAAUGGACUUGAACUUGCAUAUCCCUAUUUGUCCAGGAUGUCACAGGUCAGUGAAGGCAGCACGAGGCUCAGAGAUCUGAGGUCAACUCUCAGGUCUCCUUCUUCCUGACUGAAGGGCUACAGACAGCUACUCUGCCUUUCUGAUCCUAUGGCUUCAUCUAAGAAUGAGCACAAAGACAUUUGACCUCCUUCCUUCUGUGGAAGACACAGAGAAAGAGAGACAGUGGAAAUUUUUCGGGAACUAUUGAAGGGC